rnacentral:rRNA from 1 species
GAUGAACGCUAGCGGCAGGCUUAACACAUGCAAGUCGAGGGGCAGCGCGGGAUAGCAAUAUCCUGGCGGCGACCGGCGGAAGGGUGCGUAACGCGUGAGCGACAUGCCCGUUGCCCGGGGACAACCGGUGGAAACGCCGACUAAUCCCGAAGGGGUAUUGUGGCGCCAGGCCCGAAAAUGAAAGUUUCGGGGGGGACGGGAUGGCUCGGGUUCGGUUAGCUUGUUGGGGGGGUAACGGCCCACCCAGGCUGCGAUCGGUAGGGGGUCUGAGAGGAAGGCCCCCCACAGUGGGACUGAGACACGGCCCAUACUCCUACGGGAGGCAGCAGUGAGGAAUAUUGGUCAAUGGGCGGAAGCCUGAACCAGCCAUGCCGCGUGCGGGAAGGAGGCCCUAUGGGCUGUGAACCGCUUUUGCCUGGGGGCAAUAAGGGCGUCGCGCACGUCCGAUGAGAGUACCAGGCGAAUAAGCAUCGGCUAACUCCGUG